rnacentral:rRNA from 1 species
GAACGUACGCUGGCGGCACGCCUAACACAUGCAAGUCGAACGAAGUAGCAAUACUUAGUGGCAGACGGGUGAGUAACAUGUAGGUAUCUGCCCUUUGGCCUGGAAUAACACGAGGAAACUUGUGCUAAUACCGGAUAAGUCUUUACAGAGAAAGCUUUAUGCACCAUUGGAUGAGCCUGCACUUGAUUAGUUUGUUGGUGGGGUAAUGGCCUACCAAGACUGUGAUCAAUAGCUGAUUUGAGAGGAUGAUCAGCCACAUUGGGACUGAGACACGGCCCAAACUCCUACGGGAGGCAGCAGUGGGGAAUCUUGCACAAUGGAGGAAACUCUGAUGCAGCGAUGCCGCGUGAGUGAAGAAGGCCUUUGGGUUGUAAAGCUCUUUCGUCGGGGAAGAAAAUGACUGUACCCGAAUAAGAAGGUCCGGCUAACUUCGUGCCAGCAGCCGCGGUAAUACGAAGGGACCUAGCGUAGUUCGGAGUUACUGGGCUUAAAGAGUUCGUAGGUGGUUGAAAAAGUUAGUGGUGAAAUCCCAGAGCUUAACUCUGGAACUGCCAUUAAAACUUUUCAGCUAGAGUAUGAUAGAGGAAAGCAGAAUUUCUAGUGUAGAGGUGAAAUUCGUAGAUAUUAGAAAGAAUACCAAUUGCGAAGGCAGCUUUCUGGAUCAUUACUGACACUGAGGAACGAAAGCAUGGGUAGCGAAGAGGAUUAGAUACCCUCGUAGUCCAUGCCGUAAACGAUGUGUGUUAGACGUUGGAAAUUUAUUUUCAGUGUCGCAGCGAAAGCGAUAAACACACCGCCUGGGGAGUACGACCGCAAGGUUAAAACUCAAAUGAAUUGACGGGGACCCGCACAAGUAGUGGAGCAUGUGGUUUAAUUCGAAGAUACGCGCAGAACCUUACCAACACUUGACAUGUUCGUCGCGACUCUAAGAGAUUAGAGUUUUCGGUUCGGCCGGACGAAACACAGGUGCUGCAUGGCUGUCGUCAGCUCGUGUCGUGAGAUGUUGGGUUAAGUCCCGCAACGAGCGCAACCCUCACUUUUAGUUGCCAUCAUUAAGUUGGGCACUCUGAAAGAACUGCCAGUGAUAAGCUGGAGGAAGGUGGGGAUGACGUCAAGUCCUCAUGGCCCUUACGUGUUGGGCUACACACGUGCUACAAUGGUAUCUACAACAGGAAGCAAGACUGCGAAGUUAAGCAAAUCCCUAAAAGAUACCUCAGUUCGGAUUGCACUCUGCAACUCGAGUGCAUGAAGCUGGAAUUACUAGUAAUCGUGGAUCAGCGUGCCACGGUGAAUGCGUUCCCGGGUCUUGUACACAC